rnacentral:rRNA from 1 species
AGAGUUUGAUCCUGGCUCAGGAUGAACGCUAGCGACAGGCCUAACACAUGCAAGUCGAGGGGUAACAGGGGAGCUUGCUUCCGCUGACGACCGGCGCACGGGUGAGUAACACGUAUGCAACCUGCCUGUAAUUGCGGGAUAGCCUUUUGAAAGGGAGAUUAAUACCGCAUGUGAUUAUAUUACCGCAUGGUAAUAUACUUAAAUGCAAAGAUUACAGAUGGGCAUGCGUUUCAUUAGCUAGUUGGGGGGGUAACGGCCCACCAAGGCUACGAUGAAUAGGGGUUCUGAGAGGAAGGUCCCCCACACUGGUACUGAGACACGGACCAGACUCCUACGGGAGGCAGCAGUGAGGAAUAUUGGUCAAUGGACGGAAGUCUGAACCAGCCAUGUCGCGUGCAGGAUUACGGCCCUAUGGGUUUUAAACUGCUUUUAUACGAGGAUAAAAUGUACUAUGUAUAGUAUAUUGCAGGUAUCGUAUGAAUAAGGAUCGGCUAACUCCGUGCCAGCAGCCGCGGUAAUACGGAGGAUCCGAGCGUUAUCCGGAUUUAUUGGGUUUAAAGGGUGCGUAGGCUGGGAAAUAAGUCAGCGGUGAAAGUUCAGGGCUUAACUUUGAAAUUGCCGUUGAAACUGUUUUUCUUGAGUAUAUUGGAAGUAGGCGGAAUGUGUAGUGUAGCGGUGAAAUGCAUAGAUAUUACACAGAACCCCGAUUGCGAAGGCAGCUUACUAUACUAUUACUGACGCUGAUGCACGAAAGCGUGGGGAUCAAACAGGAUUAGAUACCCUGGUAGUCCACGCUGUAAACGAUGAUAACUCGCUGUUUGCGAUAUACCGCAAGUGGCCAAGCGAAAGCGUUAAGUUAUCCACCUGGGGAGUACGCCGGCAACGGUGAAACUCAAAGGAAUUGACGGGGGCCCGCACAAGCGGAGGAACAUGUGGUUUAAUUCGAUGAUACGCGAGGAACCUUACCCGGGCUUGAAAUGCAUCUGACGUACUGUGAAAGCAGUAUUCUAGCAAUAGCAGAUGUGUAGGUGCUGCAUGGUUGUCGUCAGCUCGUGCCGUGAGGUGUCGGCUUAAGUGCCAUAACGAGCGCAACCCUUAUCAAUAGUUACCAUCAGGUCAAGCUGGGGACUCUAUUGAGACUGCCACCGUAAGGUGUGAGGAAGGUGGGGAUGACGUCAAAUCAGCACGGCCCUUACGUCCGGGGCGACACACGUGUUACAAUGGGGGGUACAGAGGGCCGCUACCUGGCAACAGGAUGCGAAUCUCAUAAAGCCCCUCUCAGUUCGGAUCGGAGUCUGCAACUCGACUCCGUGAAGCUGGAUUCGCUAGUAAUCGCGCAUCAGCCAUGGCGCGGUGAAUACGUUCCCGGGCCUUGUACACACCGCCCGUCAAGCCAUGGAAGCCGGGGGUACCUGAAGUACGUAACCGCAAGGAGCGUCCUAGGGUAAAACUGGUAACUGGGGCUAAGUCGUAACAAGGUAUCC